UUUAACGGCCGCGGUAUUUUGACCGUGCGAAGGUAGCGUAAUCACUUGUCUUUUAAAUAGAGACCUGUAUGAAUGGCAUAACGAGGGCUUAACUGUCUCCUUUAUCCUAUCAAUGAAAUUGAUCUCCUCGUGCAGAAGCGAGGAUAACAACAUAAGACGAGAAGACCCUAUGGAUCUUUAGUCGCAAGAACAGAACAUGUACAUUCUAAUAAUUAAAUAAUGAAAAUUAUUGAACCCUGUUCCAGUGACUUUGGUUGGGGCGACCACGGAGUAAAAUAAAACCGCCAAGAGGAAUGAAGAUAUUUCUUCCUACUCAAGGAUGACAAUCCUAAAGAUCAGAACUUCUGACCACAUGACGCCGGCAAAGCCGAUCAACGAACCGAGUUACCCUAGGGAUAACAGCGCAAUCCGCUUUUAGAGCCAUAUCGACAAGAGGGUUUACGACCUCGAUGUUGGAUCAGGACAUCCUAAU
rnacentral:rRNA from 1 species